rnacentral:lncRNA from 1 species
UGGGGCUGGCCGGGCUACUCGGGCCACGCAGCUGGAACCUGGAAAUUAGGAUUGGAAUCCUGAACUCCUAAAUCCAAACUACAGACUGGAAGUUACCAAAAAAUGUCACAGUGGUUCCUUGAUCAGGUAGAAAGAUGACAGAGCCCAACAUACCAGAACCUAGAAAGGAGGCGAAGGAGGCGGUCUAGAGGGAAGAGCACUUUGGUCAAAGGAUCAGGUGCAUAAAUGCGGAGGAAUGAGGAUGCCCGGCUUGCUGGAGGAUCAAGGGAAGUCCAGAUGGCCUGCAGGAGCCAAGAAGUCUGGAGCAGCCAAAAAAACACAAAAGAAGUGCAACAAAAGAAGCUCCUGCCUUGACUGAUUGACCAGCCUUACGACGUUCCACCAUUAUGAAUUGUUCCUGUCCUGCCCCAACUGAUCAAUCGACCUUGUGACAUUCUUCUUCUGGACAAUGAAUCUUAUGAUCUCCCCACCAUGGACCCUGUGACCCCCUCCUCUGCUGACAAUAGAUAACCACCUCUAACUGUAACAUUCCACUGCCUACCUCAGUCCUAUAAAGCUGCCCCUCUCCUAUCUACCUUCGCUGACUCUCUUUUCGUACUCAGCCCACUUGCACCCAAGUGAAUAAACAGCCCUGUUGCUCACACAA